AUGCUCACUUUGGCAGCACACGUACUAAAAUGAGAACGAUACAGAAAAGGUUAGCAUGGCCCCUGCGCAAGGAUAGCAUGCAAAUUUGUGAAGCGUUCCAUAUUUUU
ensembl:snRNA U6 U6 spliceosomal RNA